CAUUAGAGUUUUGACGCGAGACGUGAAAUGUUUUAAAUAAAGACUGUACAUCGCUCUUCGUUCGGUAGAUAAAAUGCCAAAAAGAAGAAAUUGAAUUUUUUUUUAAUUUUUUUUUGAAGAUUUUUUACCCUAAUUUUUCUUUUAUAUUAUUUACAAAUAUUAUUAAUGAAAAAAGAAAAUAAAAAGAAAAAAUUCCUGAAUAAACAAACAAAAAUUUACAUUCAUUUAUUUACAUACAUACAUAUAUACUUUUACACACAUACAAAAACUUACUAUUACCGUAGAUAGCAAAAACAAGAAGUUUGUAUGUAUUUUUAAAGAAUUAAAGAAGUAAACUCAGCUGAAAAGGAUAAUAAUAAAAAAAAACAAUAUUCAACGAAAUUGAAGAAGAAAAUUGCGAAAACGAAAAAGAAAACAAAAAAUUUUAAUUACGCCUAAAGAUAGAAGAAACACAAGUUAAGAAUUUGAAUUCAUCUGAAAACGUUUAUAUUACCAGAAACAAUACAAAACAAUUGUAAUUAAUAUUAUAAAAAAUUAUUAUUACGACACCUUAAAAAAACAAACAAAACAAUAUUAUAGAGAAUACUAAAAAACUAAAAAAA